GCGGGGGUCGGCCCUCCCGGGGGUCGUGGUCAGGGGGAUCGGCCCUCCCGGGGUGGGGCGGGGUCAGCCACGGCGGCGAGGGAGGCGGAGGAUGGCUGUGCGCGGCGGCGACGGGCCGAGGCUCCUGCCCGGACGACGCACCUCACGGCGGCGCCAGGACAGCCGGGCUGCACGGCCGGGGCUUCGCCCAGAGGCUGCACAGACACUGCGUGCUGACCGCUGGCCGGCGACCGCGGACACCGCGGGGUCCCAGCCGCGGCGUCUCGGCCGCUCCCCCGGCGGCGGCGCGGGGCGUGCGCCUCCCGGCGAGCAGCUCGGUUAGCUCCCAGCCCCGGGCGGCGCUGUGGCCGCCUGUCACAGACGGGGAAGCCGAGGCGCUGAGUGCCUAAGCGACGGGCCCGAAGCGAGAGCCAGCGCGGCGGCCUCCGCUCGCGGCUGCGGCCCCUGCGGGCGUGUGUCGCCGGCCGGAGAGGAAGGCGGGGGCAGCCGGCGCCGCGCUGCUUCCUCCGCCUCGUCGCUCAGCCCCUCCGGGGACGCUCUGCGCGACGGGCUCGUGCGGACGCAGCGCGGCCCUCGCGGGGCGGUGGAGGCGCGGGGCGUCCCGCGGCCCCGGCUGCCUGAGCCCGGCGCGGAGACCCUGGGGCCGGCCGGCGCUCCGCCGGAGGCCCUGCCGCGCCCGGGAGGCGGCCUGCGGGACUCGGGAGGGCGGGGGCCCGGGAGGCUGAGGGGGGCGGCGCAGCGAGGCCGGGCCGCGGGGCGGCGGCCGCGGGAGGUCAGGGCGCCUGCGGGGCGGGGACUGCGGGCUGUCUUCUCCUGCAGAGCCGCCGGGCCUCCCAGCCAGCCCCGCCUGUGAGGACGCCAGGACCCCGUCGUCCCGUCGCCGGGCGGCCCCGGGAUCCCAAGAUGCCUGCGGUGAAAGCUCUUCCGCAGGAAGCAGCCCAGUGCAGUGUCCCUUGCCUGAGAGGGUGAAGCUAAGAGGCAGAAACACAGUCACCCACUCGUUGCCCCGACGCACUCAAGGGUGGGCUUGGAAGCGGCUAACUGUGGUUCCAAAUUGUUCUUUUCCUUCUGUUAUGUCAGGGAGGUGCCGCCAGCCCCGCCGGGCCAGGCCAGGCCUCCGCAGAGGGCUCCCCUGUGCCUUUGCCUUGUGGAUGCCGAGCUUCUCCGGGAGGAGGUUCGGGCCUGGGCUCCGCCGCCUGCAGGGUGGAAGCUUGUUUCCCCUGAGCCUGCGCGGGAGGGUUCCCGCCUCUCCCGUUGGAAUAUUCCUUCCUAAUGUGAAGGAAAUGUCCCUGCUUCCCUUUGUUCAGGGACCCAUGACUCUGGACGUGAUUCCCCACACCUCCCGUUAGCUGCAAUAUCGCUGCUUUGUGAGACGACUGCUUCCGGUGGAGAGGCUGACUCACCCGCCAGCAGGGAGCCCGCUUUGGUCUCAGUAAGAAUUCCCUGGAAGAAUACCAAAUGGCGGAACCUCACGGACUGGACGGACGUGCUGUUGAAAUCCCAACUAGUUAAUGUUUCCUGGGUUUCUUUCUUUCAGAAAGGACAGAACCAAACUAACUAAGGCUUAAUUUUCUCUGACCCUUAAUUUGAACGCAGCUGUUCCUUUGUUUUGACUGAUCCUCCACGGCUUUGACAAGUAGAAAUGGCAAGCCACAGGAGAUACUGGGGGACACGAGGAAGCCGUUUGGUGUAAACCUAAUUCGGCCCGGCUUUGUUUUUCCACAAGGCCUGACGUGGCCGUUGAGCAUGCGCUGUACAUCUGCUUAAGCAUUUGCUGUGUCCCGCAGACAAGAACAAAGGCCCUUAAGAUAAAGGUGCAACUUCCCCCACAUGGCAUUUCCUUAAGGACAAGCAUCUCUCCCUGGGCUGGGAACUGAUUGCUAUGCUCACCUGUGACCACCCAGCUCAGGACAACAGACCUGCCACCCUGCUGUGUCCACCAGGACACCAGACCUACUACCUGCUGUGUCUGUCCAUCGCUGUUCCGACAGAGCGGUCUCAUGACUAUUGGAAAAGGGACAUUUCAAGCACAUGUGAAACAUGCUCUUUGGGUGUAUAUAACCACUCUGUACACCCCACGUCUUCGGUGCCCUUCCUUCCUUGGGGAAGGAAGACUCGGGCCAUGGUCCUCACAUUUUGGCUCAGAAUAAACUCACCCAAAUUUUCAUUUCUAGAUUGGUUAUGGAUUGUUUUUGUUGACAACUUGCUCUUCACAAGGCUAAGGAAGUUGGUCCACACCUUGCCUGGGUCUGUGUGGACACAUCUCCACUAACACACGCACACCCACAUCAGCUCCGUGUGUAAGCACAUGGCAUAAUGUAAAUGUUUCACGUAGAGAAUGUAUUGUGGUAGUUUAAGGUGUGUCCUCUGUCUUCCUGGUCGCACUCUUAGGUAUUCACGCAGUGCGUUACAAUUUAGGUCACGCCGCCUGCCUGCGAUUGGUGCCUCCUGGACGGUGAUUACAGUGGAUCCCUCCCAGGCCAAGGGAGCUGGAGCUUCUCCUAGACUCGCUAGGCUGGUACACCAGCGGGGGUUUCCCGCAAAGCCCCCAUUCAGCAGAAGCAUGGCCUUCGGGAUCAGAUGCUGCCUCAGGAUGUGGGGACAGAGUGCCUGCUGGUGGGCCCUUCCCCCAUCACACUCCAACCCCCCCCGACCCCGGAAUUUUACAGUAUUUCAUGGUGCUGAUUUCUCAUUCUGAUCUUCCGGGGCUGGAGCGGUACCAGCAUGUGACUUGUUCCUCCUCCUAUAUCCAUCUUCCUUCAAGUAGAAAAUCAAGAAAAAGAAAUGCAGUGCCUCAUUACUCAGCCGUUUCGGUUGAGUGUUUUCUGGUGCAGAUAUUCCAGAAGCACAUGUCUUGGCGGAAAGACACGAAAGGCUGCCUCCUGCAGUUUUGGGAGCCCACUGACUCCCAUGAUAAAGUGCGGCAACUUGAGCUCUCUUCAUCUUACAAAACUGAAACUCUGCACCCAUUAAAUGACUUCAUUCUCCCCCACCCCAAGGCCCUGGCAACCACCGUUCUACUGUCUGUCUCUAUGAGUUUGACUACUCUAGGUACAUCAGUGGCAGAGUUCCGUGUUCCCGAUCACGCCGCAGACACACGCUGUGAAGCGGCUGCUGAGUCGGAGCUCCCUCCCCAGCGGUGCUGCGCAUCCCAGCACAAGGGCCUGGGUUCCUCCCGGCCUGCCACCGGAGCUGCCAUGUUGGGAUCUAAACAAGCAAGUGGGGGCAAAGCGUGGUCCGACCUUGGCUCAUGGGUGGCUGAGCCCCAACUUGUCACAGGGUCCUAGCACCUGGCCCACAGCUGGUGCGGCGUCAGCGGGGACUGCUGCGGACUGGUCACUGCCCGCAUUUUGUUCAAGCUCCCUUUCUGUGGACGUCAAAGAGGUGUCUAUGAGGGCCGCCAAGGACCACCCAAGAGGCAACAAUGCUCUCUCCGCCCUUGGUUCUGGUGAUGGAAGCUCAGAUCCUAGGCCACACUGGCUGCCCUGGGUCUCUCUGUCCUUGGAAUGAAUCUUUCCCGUCGACAGUCUCUGGCCAGCCUUUCCUACAGAUGGGCCCAAACGUGUCAGAAUUCCUACUAGGCUCAGGCCUGAACCCCACGUCACCCCUUUAUAAGAAGAAAGCACGUCUGAGGACAGGAAAUCACCACGUGCAGUAAAACCAGCAGUGCUGUCUCCUUUGGGGCCAGUGAGCACUGGCAGAAACAGUCCGGGAUCUGCAGGUGGCCAGAGGGCACUGCACUUUGGGUCUGUUCUGCGGGCUCCGCUGUGAAGAGGGUGCAGAAUCUCUCACUGAGCUGUGAGAGGAUUAGCGUCCUGGCACGUGGUGGACAUUCUGUUCACGGUUGUCACCAGCAGGAGGCGAGGGCUGGCUCCAUGAACCCUAGUCCCCUGGGUCCCAAUAGAGGCAUCGCCAAGGAUUACUUUAAUGUUUUUUUCUCCUGUGAACCCUGUUUUAAAAGCUUUGAUCUUCCUGGUUACAUUUAUUAAUUUGUUUUUUCAUAUUUUAAAAAUUCUAUUUUACUAAAGUUUACUUUCCCCGUUUUAUCAGUCAAGGACAUUUAUUAUCACAGACUUUCAACUAGUGCAAAGGAAGCAGUGUUGUCACACUCUCUUGAUGCAAUUUGAAGCAAACACAAAGAAGGCAACGCCAUGUGUUCUUACUGAAACUUUAUACACGAGGCCAUUUUUACUACUUUCAAGCACAUAGUGACCUCCAUUUCAGAAGCUUCGCUCCAGAUUACGCAGCUCUGACAGCACUGGCUGGCAUUUACGGGACGUUUACCGAGUGGCAGGCUCUGUUCUAGCGCUGUUGCCAUUUGCCUCAAUGCAUUCUCCCCACAGCCUGCCAAGUGAGAUGGACGAUCAGUCCCGGGUUAUAGAUGGAAAUGUUAUAGAGGAAAAGGGUCAGAAACAGCAACGUGUAGGUUAAAUGUCAGCAGCUGGAAACCCACCGAGGAAAAGGAGAUGCUGCCCUCCUUCGCGUCUCCUGAGAAAGGAACUGUGUCUUCAGGAGGAGAACUGGAUGGACCUUUUGCCCCUGAGAGUGGCGCUGCCCCUGACACUGUACCAAACCUUUGUAUCUCCAGAUCUACAUGCAUCUCAUGCAGCAAGCAGUCUGAUAUGAAAAAUCAGGUGGAUAAUUUAAUUAAAGUCAUCCUGAAUGGGUUAUUCCCGCAGAAGCUCAUGCAAACCUCUUGGGAGCAAUACGACUUCACUACGGGCCUGAGCGAAUCUCCAUAGUUACAGUUCCAGGGAAAAGAGACUCACCUCAAAAAUGACAGAACACACACAGCAGCAGGGCACUAUGAGUGGGAAUGAAUAAAGAGCCAGCAGCAACAAGCACAUGAACAGUUUAGACACUAGAAUUCUCAG
rnacentral:lncRNA from 1 species